rnacentral:tRNA from 1 species
GCGGAUGUGGUGGAAUUGGUAGACACGCCAGAUUUAGGUUCUGGUGCCGUAAGGUGUGGAGGUUCGAGUCCUCUCAUCCGCACCA